AUUGAACGCUGGCGGCAGGCUUAACACAUGCAAGUCGAACGAGCGGAGGACGGGUGAGUAAGGUAUGGGGAUCUGCCUGAUGGCGGGGGAUAACUACUGGAAACGGUGGCUAAUACCGCAUACCAUAAGAUGAACCCAUAUGGGAUUAGCUUGUAGGUGAGGUAACGGCUCACCUAGGCGACGAUACCUAGCUGGUCUGAGAGGCUGAUCAGCCACACUGGGACUGAGACACGGCCCAGACUCCUACGGGAGGCAGCAGUAGGGAAUAUUGGGCAAUGGGCGAAAGCCUGAUGCAGCCAUGCCGCGUGUAUGAAGAAGGCCUUCGGGUUGUAAAACUCUUUCAGUGAGGAGGCGUUACUCGAAGAGGAAGCACCGGCUAACUCCGUGCCAGCAGCCGCGGUAAUUC
rnacentral:rRNA from 1 species